UCAAAGCCUUGCUUGCAAUCUCUUGUUGGGGCAAGUGAUUGGGGGGGAGGGAAGAGGAAGCAGCAAAGUAGACUCCACUGGUUGCUUAGCCAAUUUCUGCCCACCAGCCACAUGUAACUAGCAACAGUGGAAUGUCAAAUUUCAGCAGCGCCCUGUGCAAUGCCAAAAUUUGGAACUCCCUGCCUCUCACGCUCCAUCCUCUCCCGGAUCUGAUCUUCUUAUUCUGUUUCUGUAGAGAAAGUACGAAUGGGAGCAGCCUAUGAAAGAACCUCAACAAGCAGCCAGGAGCCCGCCAGCUCCACCAGCUCCUUCGUCGGGGACAUUCAAGGCAGCACAGAAAUAGAAAUGAGGAAUUUUCAACGAGGAGGGAGGCCACCUUCAGAUCACUUCUCUUUAUGAAAUACCUGCCUCCAAACCUGCCCAUCCCAGCAGGGAGAGGCCUCCAGGCUGACCGGCUCCUCAGGGCUGCUUUGAGAUGGGAACGUGGUUGGCAUCCAGAACUAUCUCCCCCUCUGCAGUGAAAACAACAGACUACACAAAAAGAACAAAGCGACAGGGAUUUGACCUCCGAGGAGUCAAAACCCAUUUCAGCCUCUCAAGACACUCCGUUAAGUGACCUUAAACUGGCCGUCCUGCCACCAAAGGAACAGCAAAAGGAGACUGCGAGACAAAAGGGCCAAAUUACUGUUGCCCAAGAGGUUUGGUGCUAUCAACUGUGGACUGAAUUGGGC